rnacentral:rRNA from 1 species
AUUGAACGCUGGCGGCAGGCCUAACACAUGCAAGUCGCACGAGUGGCGGACGGGUGAGUAAUGUCUGGGAAUCUGCCCGAUGGAGGGGGAUAACUACUGGAAACGGUAGCUAAUACCGCAUACCAUCGGAUGUGCCCAGAUGGGAUUAGCUAGUAGGUGGCGUAACGGCUCACCUAGGCGACGAUCCCUAGCUGGUCUGAGAGGAUGACCAGCCACACUAGAAUUGAGACACGGGCCAGACUCCUACGGGCGGCAGCAGUGGGGAAUAUUGCACAAUGGGCGCAAGCCUGAUGCAGCCAUGCCGCGUGUAUGAAGAAGGCCUUCGGGUUGUAAAGUACUUUCGGCAGGGAGGCAUUACUCGCAGAAGAAGCACCAGCUAACUCCGUGCCAGCAGCCGCGGUAAUAC